GUAGGAUAAGCUAAGCACACUGUUGGUUAUGUGUGCCCAAGCAUUGAGGCAGUCAAAGUAGGCAAAUCCGCUUUGAUAAUGCUGGGAGGUGAUGGGGAGCGAAAUUUAGUAGCGAAGUAGCUGAUUUCACACUGUCAAGAAAAGUCUCUAUCGAGGUUAAAGGUACCCGUACCGCCAACCGACACAGGUGGGUGAGGAGAGUAUCCUAAGGCCAGCGAGAGAACUGUUGGUAAGGAACUCGGCAAAAUGACCCCGUAACUUAGGGAUAAGGGGUGCCACCAUCAGGUGGCCGCAGAGAAUAGGCCCAAGCGACUGUUUACCAAAAACAUAGGUUUCUGCUAAGUCGCAAGACGAUGUAUAGGAGCUGACGCCUGCCCGGUGCUGG
rnacentral:rRNA from 1 species